rnacentral:rRNA from 1 species
AACGUGGACCCGUAAUCCGGGUUGCGGACAGUGUCUGGUGGGUAGUUUGACUGGGGCGGUCUCCUCCUAAAGAGUAACGGAGGAGCACGAAGGUUGGCUAAUCCUGGUCGGACAUCAGGAGGUUAGUGCAAUGGCAUAAGCCAGCUUGACUGCGAGCGUGACGGCGCGAGCAGGUGCGAAAGCAGGUCAUAGUGAUCCGGUGGUUCUGAAUGGAAGGGCCAUCGCUCAACGGAUAAAAGGUACUCCGGGGAUAACAGGCUGAUACCGCCCAAGAGUUCAUAUCGACGGCGGUGUUUGGCACCUCGAUGUCGGCUCAUCACAUCCUGGGGCUGAAGUAGGUCCCAAGGGUAUGGCUGUUCGCCAUUUAAAGUGGUACGCGAGCUGGGUUUAGAACGUCGUGAGACAGUUCGGUCCCUAUCUGCCGUGGGCGCUGGAGAACUGAGGGGGGCUGCUCCUAGUACGAGAGGACCGGAGUGGACGCAUCACUGGUGUUCGGGUUGUCAUGCCAAUGGCACUGCCCGGUAGCUAAAUGCGGAAGAGAUAAGUGCUGAAAGCAUCUAAGCACGAAACUUGCCCCGAGAUGAGUUCUCCCUGAGACUUAAAGUCUCCUGAAGGAACGUUGAAGACGACGACGUUGAUAGGCCGGGUGUGUAAGCGCAGCGAUGCGUUGAGCUAACCGGUACUAAUGAACCGUGAGGCUUAACCUU